UACGUAGGGUGCGAGCGUUGUCCGGAAUUAUUGGGCGUAAAGAGCUCGUAGGCGGUCUGUCGCGUCGAUCGUGAAAACUUGGGGCUUAACCCUGAGCUUGCGGUCGAUACGGGCAUGACUGGAGUUCGGCAGGGGAGACUGGAAUUCCUGGUGUAGCGGUGAAAUGCGCAGAUAUCAGGAGGAACACCGGUGGCGAAGGCGGUGGUCUGGGCCGGAACUGACGCUGAGGAGCGAAAGCGUGGGGAGCGAACAGG
rnacentral:rRNA from 1 species